CAGACCUCUAAUCGGAAAAGACUACCCGCUGAGUUUAAGCAUAUCAAUAAGCGGNGGAA
rnacentral:rRNA from 1 species